CAGCAGCCGCGGUAAUACGUAGGUGGCAAGCGUUAUCCGGAAUUAUUGGGCGUAAAGCGCGCGUAGGCGGUUUUUUAAGUCUGAUGUGAAAGCCCACGGCUCAACCGUGGAGGGUCAUUGGAAACUGGAAAACUUGAGUGCAGAAGAGGAAAGUGGAAUUCCAUGUGUAGCGGUGAAAUGCGCAGAGAUAUGGAGGAACACCAGUGGCGAAGGCGACUUUCUGGUCUGUAACUGA
rnacentral:rRNA from 1 species